GAUGAACGCUGGCGGCGUGCCUAAUACAUGCCAGUCGAGCGAACAGACGAGGAGCUUGCUCCCCUGACGUUAGCGGCGGACGGGUGAGUAACACGUGGAUAACCUACCUAUAAGACUGGGAUAACUUCGGGAAACCGGAGCUAAUACCGGAUAAUAUAUUGAACCGCAUGGUUCAAUAGUGAAAGACGGUUUUGCUGUCACUUAUAGAUGGAUCCACGCCGCAUUAGCUAGUUGGUAAGGUAACGGCUUACCAAGGCAACGAUGCGUAGCCGACCUGAGAGGGUGAUCGGCCACACUGGAACUGAGACACGGUCCAGACUCCUACGGGAGGCAGCAGUAGGGAAUCUUCCGCAAUGGGCGAAAGCUUGACGGAGCAACGCCGCGUGAGUGAUGAAGGUCUUCGGAUCGUAAAACUCUGUUAUUAGGGAAGAACAAAUGUGUAAGUAACUAUGCACGUCUUGACGGUACCUAAUCAGAAAGCCACGGCUAACUACGUG
rnacentral:rRNA from 1 species